CCUACGGGAGGCAGCAGUGAGGAAUAUUGGUCAAUGGACGAGAGUCUGAACCAGCCAAGUAGCGUGAAGGAUGACUGCCCUAUGGGUUGUAAACUUCUUUUAUAAAGGAAUAAAACGAGGCACGUGUGCCUUUUUGCAUGUACUUUAUGAAUAAGGAUCGGCUAACUCCGUGCCAGCAGCCGCGGUAAUACGGAGGAUCCGAGCGUUAUCCGGAUUUAUUGGGUUUAAAGGGAGCGUAGAUGGGUUGUUAAGUCAGUUGUGAAAGUUUGCGGCUCAACCGUAAAAUUGCAAUUGAUACUGGCAGUCGUGAGUACAGUUGAGGUAAGCGGAAUUCGUGGUGUAGCGGUGAAAUGCUUAGAUAUCACGAAGAACCCCGAUUGCGAAGGCAGCUUACUAAACUGUGACUGACAUUGAUGCUCGAAAGUGUGGGUAUCAAACAGGAUGAGAUAUCCUGGUAGUC
rnacentral:rRNA from 1 species